UGCGCCCGUAGCUCACUCGGAUAGAGCAUCGGCCUUCUAAGCCGAGGGUAGCAGGUUCGAAUCCUGCCGGGCGCGAGUU
rnacentral:tRNA from 2 species